GACGAACGCUGCGGCGUGCUUAACACAUGCAAGUCGAACGAAGAGCGACGGAAGCUUGCUUCUAUCAAUCUUAGUGGCGAACGGGUGAGUAACGCGUAAUCAACCUGCCCUUCAGAGGGGGACAACAGUUGGAAACGACUGCUAAUACCGCAUACGAUCUAAUCUCGGCAUCGAGGAUAGAUGAAAGGUGGCCUCUACAUGUAAGCUAUCACUGAAGGAGGGGAUUGCGUCUGAUUAGCUAGUUGGAGGGGUAACGGCCCACCAAGGCGAUGAUCAGUAGCCGGUCUGAGAGGAUGAACGGCCACAUUGGGACUGAGACACGGCCCAGACUCCUACGGGAGGCAGCAGUGGGGAAUCUUCCGCAAUGGACGAAAGUCUGACGGAGCAACGCCGCGUGAGUGAUGACGGCCUUCGGGUUGUAAAGCUCUGUUAAUCGGGACGAAAGGCCUUCUUGCAAAUAGUGAGAAGGAUUGACGGUACCGGAAUAGAAAGCCACGGCUAA
rnacentral:rRNA from 1 species